UAUUUAGAAUUAAAACAAAAAAAGGAAAAAAAAACAUAUGUCAUGAUUUACCCAAAGCAUAGCAUAUGAUGGAUAAACUAGAAAGCAUAGCAUAUAGCACAUAUAAUACCCUUGGUGUUAGGAUUUGACGUCUCAAGAUUCGGUCCAUACUGAGCCCACAGCAAGGUUCGCAACGAAAAACGGAGUCUAAUGAGGCCAAGAUCACCCAAAACAGAGCU
rnacentral:lncRNA from 1 species